AUACACCAUUUUACAAAUAGUCACUAUUAAUACUAGAAAAGACAAAGGGAGUCAAUAUUAAUAAUGAAGUUGAUUUUUCAGUAUAUUGUUAACACUUGCCAUAGGCUACUUGACAUCUGUAGCAGUCAUGAUAUGUGCCUAACAAACACAUACUUCUCUGGUAAGGAAUCUCACAUAGUGUCUUGGUGACACUCACGCUAAAAAAAAAGGUGGCACCAGCUUGACCUCUGCAUCACUCGAAGUAUGGAUAUGAAAAGUAUCAUUUACACCCGAUAAUACCAUAGCACAGCAGCUCAGACCAUUCCAUAGUGUUCAGCUAUAUCUACCCAUUGAUAAAGAAGGCGUAUACUUCCAGUUAACCAAGGACAAAGCGAAUAAACGUUAAUCUGGUAGGAGGCCCAGAGAAUAACUGCAAUCUUUGGUGCAAUCUGGCCGCCACAACACUGAAUAUAUACUAUAAACGACAGAGGACCUAGUUUCUUGUAUUGUGUCAGCUUGAAGACUAGAGACAACAAGGAAUGAAACGCAUACAAUUUGUUAUCGUUUGUAGCAUCAACUUAUUGUUUAUAGUUUUGGUAACAUUUUACAACGCAAAUUUUCUUUUUGCAAAUCGCUGUGACGAACGCAACAUCGUUACCAAAGAUCUUAAUGACAGUCUUUCUGAUGGACGUGAGAAUAGAAUUUCACAAGCCGAUCUCACAAAGCUGAACAAAGAUGUUUUAACUACAUCUACCAGUGAAAGCACCACGACGAAGUGUUCAGCCAGCAACAAGGAUCAGGGGGAGAGAAAUGACCCCCCUCUAGCCAAGUCCCCAGCUAUAAUCAGUAACACACCCAAUUCAACCAUGUAUCUGACGACUUUAUUUAGCGGGCGAUUUGGCAACCACUUGUUCAUCUACGCCACGCUACUGGGUGUGGCCAGGGCGCAAAAUAGGGUGCCUUUUAUAAGUGACAGAAUAGGCUUAGGAAAAGAUUUCCAAAUCUCAUUUAAUAAACCAAACAUCAGUUCGAAUGGGUAAGAUAUAAGAUUUGUUUUAUGAUAAUUUAUAACAUGGAUAUCAGGUCUAGCUCCCAUAAUUCUUGGCUUCUUUUCGCUCAUUUCUGAACUAAUUCGUCAAUGGCAGAAAAAACUUGUGUCCCACUUUUCGUUACCUAAAUGUCUGGCCACCUUAUUUUUUAUGAUGUUAUAUCAUCAGUUUUAUAGUCAGUUUCUAUGCUUUUAUGUAAUUAGUUCUUAUAUUAUCGUCAAUAGUUCGUAUUACGUUAUCUAAUCAGCUCUUAUUACGUUAUAUCAUCGGUUCUUAUGACGCUAAAUCAUCAGUUCUUGUGACGUUAUAUCAUUAGUUCUU
rnacentral:sRNA from 13 species